UACACUCCUCCGGGAGGCAGCAGUGGGGAAUAUUGCACAAUGGGCGCAAGCCUGAUGCAGCCAUGCCGCGUGUAUGAAGAAGGCCUUCGGGUUGUAAAGUACUUUCAGCGGGGAGGAAGGCAAUACGGUUAAUAACCGUGUUGAUUGACGUUACCCGCAGAAGAAGCACCGGCUAACUCCGUGCCAGCAGCCGCGGUAAUACGGAGGGUGCAAGCGUUAAUCGGAAUUACUGGGCGUAAAGCGCACGCAGGCGGUCUGUCAAGUCGGAUGUGAAAUCCCCGGGCUCAACCUGGGAACUGCAUUCGAAACUGGCAGGCUUGAGUCUUGUAGAGGGGGGUAGAAUUCCAGGUGUAGCGGUGAAAUGCGUAGAGAUCUGGAGGAAUACCGGUGGCGAAGGCGGCCCCCUGGACAAAGACUGACGCUCAGGUGCGAAAGCGUGGGGAGCAAACAGGAUUAGAAACCCCUGUAGUCCCAU
rnacentral:rRNA from 1 species